GACCUAGACGACCGCAGCUCCAAACCCGGUGCCGCGCCCCUCCCACCUAGCGCGCGCAGCCUACGCCAGCCCCGCGGGGCUUGCUGGAGGGCGGGCCCCCCAGCCAAUCACCGCUCCCACUUGGGCGGAUUGACGGUGGACGCCCGGGGCCGGUUGCGGGCAAAGGGGCGGGGCCUCCGGGUGCUGACCAGCCAAUUGAGGCCGUCCGGAAGUACUGCCGGGCGCUUCUAAGGUAGGCUGCGCCGUGGGGGGAGGGGGUGGAAUGAUGUCAGGGCUCGCUUUUAAAGGGGACCUGGGCAGAGUCCAGGGGCUGAGUGUCGCCUGUCCGGGAAGACUUCGUUUCCGAGCGGCAGCACAUGAGACCAUGCUACUUCGUGAACGCGUGGCCCUUGAGGAGGCCGGCCCUAAGUAUUUUACCCAAAGCAUUUCUUUACUGAGCACUGAGGAAGAUCCUUUUCCGUGUAAAAUUUAAAAUUCUGACAUUACUCAAACACCUGCUAUGUGUUUGCGGAGCACUUCCACCUAUGUUACACAGAUUAUAUUAAAUCCUUGCAGUAACUCUAUCAGAUAGCUGCAUUCUUAUUCUCAUUUUGCAGAUGUGGGAACCGAGGGGCCUCACACUUCUGUGACUAGGCGGGGGCUAUCCAGCUAGCGACAGCUGGGGUCUGCACUUGGGCAGCCUCCAGACCCACUGGGGUCUACUGCUGCAACUGUGCAAGAUGCUCAACAAAUCUGCCUGGAAAUAAAAGAAAUGAGGCAGAGAAAAUCUAAUGAUUACUUAAAGGCUCAAAUACUGAAUUUUCAUCAAGUUCAAAAAAUUUGGAUGAAGGUUUGGAUAAACUAUUUGAUGAAAUUCAACUGCAAGUGUUUUCCAAAGUUCCAUUUGAUGAUACAAGAACAGCAGG